GAUGAACGCUGGCGGCGUGCUUAACACAUGCAAGUCGAACGGAAAGCCCCUUCGGGGGAAUUCGAGUGGCGAACGGGUGAGCAACACGUGGGCAAUCUGCCCUUCUCUCCGGGAUAACUCAGGGAAACUUGAGCUAAUACCGGAUACUCCGGGACGAUCGCAUGGUCGACCCGGGAAAGCUCCGACGGAGAAGGAUGAGCCCGCGGCCCAUUAGCUUGUUGGUGAGGUAACGGCUCACCAAGGCAGCGAUGGGUAGCCGAGCUGAGAGGCUGAUCGGCCACACUGGGACUGAGACACGGCCCAGACUCCUACGGGAGGCAGCAGUGGGGAAUCUUGCGCAAUGGGCGAAAGCCUGACGCAGCAACGCCGCGUGCGGGAUGACGGCCUUCGGGUUGUAAACCGCUUUCAGCAGGGACGAAACUGACGGUACCUGCAGAAGAAGCCCCGGCUAACUACGUGCCAGCCGCCGCCGUAAGAC
rnacentral:rRNA from 1 species